CGCCGGGCCCUGUGCGGUGCAGACUUGUGAACCGCGUCAGACCCGGAAGGGAGCAGCGCUAAGCAGGAUCCUGCAGGUGCCGCAGGCCAACCCGGCGCUC
rnacentral:SRP_RNA from 1 species